rnacentral:rRNA from 1 species
GAGUUUGAUCUUGGCUCAGAUUGAACGCUGGCGGCAUGCCUAACACAUGCAAGUCGAACGGUAACGCGGGGGCAACCCUGGCGACGAGUGGCGGACGGGUGAGUAAUACGUAGGAAUCUGCCCAUUAGUGGGGGACAACCCGGCGAAAGCCGGGCUAAUACCGCAUACGCUCUACGGAGGAAAACGGGGGAUCGUAAGACCUCGUGCUAAUGGAUGAGCCUACGUCGGAUUAGCUAGUUGGUAGGGUAACGGCCUACCAAGGCGACGAUCCGUAGCUGGUCUGAGAGGACGAUCAGCCACACUGGGACUGAGACACGGCCCAGACUCCUACGGGAGGCAGCAGUGGGGAAUAUUGGACAAUGGGGGCAACCCUGAUCCAGCAAUGCCGCGUGUGUGAAGAAGGCCUGCGGGUUGUAAAGCACUUUCAGAGGGGAAGAAAAAAGCGGAGCUAACACCUCCGUUCUUGACGUUACCCUUAGAAGAAGCACCGGCUAACUCCGUGCCAGCCGCCGCCGUAAC